GUACGCAACCCCGUCCAUUCCCCUCCCCCGACCCCGAGCGGUCGAGCGCCGCCUCCGCCGGCUGCCGUCGUCGACCACCUCCUGGUGCUGCCGUCGUCAACCACCUCGCCGUAGACCACGAAGCCGUAGUACUGGAGGGAAAGAGGAGAAGAGGAGGGAGCGCAGCGCGUGCAGCUGCCUGCCGUCGAGUUGAGGGUCGACCGCCGCCGUCUCCACCUGUCCGCCGUCGACCACCUCCUCGCCGGCUCGCUGCUGUCGAUUUGAGAUGACCACGAAGCUGGAGGAGGGGGAGGAUGUGCCUGCAACUGCACGCCGUCUCCCCUGCACCUGUUCGAUCUCCUCUGUCCUCUCCUUUGCCUUAUCCCAUCUCUGACCGAGGCACACCCACCAGUUUAGCUGCCUGCCUCUUUCGUAUUGGUGAUGCUCUCGUCUUCGUCUCUUUGGAUCCUUCAAUUCUUCCUGGGCCGUGCUUCCAAUUAUGAGCCUCCAAUUACUUUUCUGGUUGUCCAGAAACGGCAUCGCCGCAAUGAUAAGCAUACUGUUGGUAGAAGCAGGAACAUACAUCCUGAUUAGUUGUUUUGUGCAAACAUGUUUUUUGUGCUUACCCGAGUGUUGAAUCUGACCAUUUUUAUGUUCAUAAUGCUAGGCCCUGUUAUUCGUUCGAAAAUUUGCCGACCAACAGCGUUUGAUUUCUACUUGUGUAGUCAUGUUAGCAUUCAGGGAACAAGCCAUCCUGAUCAUUAUCAUGUUCUGUGGGACGCUAACAAAUUUACUACUAAUGAGUUGCAAACUCUCACAAACAACUUUUGUUACAUGUAAUUUACUGUUAUAUCCUGCCUCUUGAUA